AACGAACGCUGGCGGCAGGCUUAACACAUGCAAGUCGAACGGCAGCACAGGAGAGCUUGCUCUCUGGGUGGCGAGUGGCGGACGGGUGAGGAAUACAUCGGAAUCUACUUUUUCGUGGGGGAUAACGUAGGGAAACUUACGCUAAUACCGCAUACGACCUACGGGUGAGAGCAGGGGAUCUUCGGACCUUGCGCGAUUGAAUGAGCCGAUGGCGGAUUAGCUAGUUGGCGGGGUAAAGGCCCACCAAGGCGACGAUCCGUAGCUGGUCUGAGAGGAUGAUCAGCCACACUGGAACUGAGACACGGUCCAGACUCCUACGGGAGGCAGCAGUGGGGAAUAUUGGACAAUGGGCGCAAGCCUGAUCCAGCCAUACCGCGUGGGUGAAGAAGGCCUUCGGGUUGUAAAGCCCUUUUGUUGGGAAAGAAAUCCAGCUGGUUAAUACCCGGUUGGGAUGACGGCACCCAAAGAAUAAGCACCGGCUAACUUCGUGCCAGCCGCCGCGGUAA
rnacentral:rRNA from 1 species